AACGAACGCUGGCGGCAGGCUUAACACAUGCAAGUCGAGCGCCCCGCAAGGGGAGCGGCAGACGGGUGAGUAACGCGUGGGAACGUACCCUUUGCUACGGAAUAGCUCCGGGAAACUGGAAUUAAUACCGUAUGUGCCCUACGGGGGAAAGAUUUAUCGGCAAAGGAUCGGCCCGCGUUGGAUUAGCUAGUUGGUGGGGUAAUGGCCUACCAAGGCGACGAUCCAUAGCUGGUCUGAGAGGAUGAUCAGCCACAUUGGGACUGAGACACGGCCCAAGCUCCUGCGGGAGGCAGCCGUGGGGAAUAUUUGACAAUGGGCGCAAGCCUGAUCCAGCCAUGCCGCGUGAGUGAUGAAGGCCUUAGGGUUGUAAAGCUCUUUCACCGGAGAAGAUAAUGACGGAAUCCGGAGAAGAAGCCCCGGCUAACUUCGUGCCAGCCGCCGCGGUAACAC
rnacentral:rRNA from 1 species